rnacentral:tRNA from 1 species
GUUUAAAUAGCUCAGUUGGUAGAGCAAAGGACUGAAAAUCCUUGUGUCGAUAGUUCAAGCCUAUCUUUAAAUA